UAAAGUUGUAUAAUAAUAGUACUUAGAUCAUAGGGUUACUUUGGACAUUGAAUGGGUUAACAGAUGUGAAACUCUUAGAAAAAUGCAUGGCUCCAACUAGUGUUAACUUUAAAAAGCAAAACAAAAGAAAACAAAACUUAAAAUUCCUUUGCCGGUUACUCAUAUUAACAAAAACAAUUACAUAUGUUGCUGUAUGUAUAUUCAUUUACCUUCAGAAGCAUUCUAGUAAAUGCGAGCCAUCAUGUGAAUGGUAAGAGGCUGGCUUAGCCCCUCUGGCUUAGCCCCUCUGGCUUAGCCCACCUCCAGCACCAACUGUCAGAAGAGCUCUAAGACUAAUGGAUCUAAACCUAGUUCACUUUAAGUCAUUGACCAGCUUUGUUGAUUGCAUUUUGCUGUAGCAAUGUUAGAAACCAUAUACAUUAAAUGCUCCUGAUCUUCCUCAGAGAUGGCCCUGCUCAAAGAUGCUGAUAAUAUUUAUCUGUGUGUGGAUGUAGCUAAAUUUCUUUUAAGUAAGUCCAUGGAGGAAAUAAAAAAUACCUCAUAACUUUCCCUUUCAUCUUUGGAUGCCUUCCUUCCAGCAGAGUUUAUGUGGAACAAAAACCUGUCUUUCUAGCCAGUUCUGGCCCCACACAAGCCAGUGAUGUAAUCAAAGUUCAUCCUUGGGGCACUUCCUACCUGGGCUUUAACCCCUAGUCUGAUCUCUGUCACCAUACCUACUCUAUACCCUCAUCCUCACCUCUGUCUUAAUGAAAAUAUAUUGAACAUAUUUUAAACAGGUAAAUAAAUGUUAGAGGCCCAGUGUAUAGCUCCUAUCCUGGGAAAAGCCUGCCUGUCGCUUAUUCUUCUCCCAUGGAAGGCCUUCUCUACAUCCUAUCUUUCUGCAUUUAGAUAAAAUAUGCCUAAUUCCAAGGGAUUUUGUGAGGGGGGGCAGGAGGAGUUAUCAAUAAUAUAGUGGACAUAAAAUGGGAUAUUUUAAGGGAGAAGGAAAAGAGGAAAAGGUGUGGAAAAAAAAAACCCAAGAGCAACAAAGUAGUGGGGGAAACCACAGCAGAAAAGGCAUUAGAGAAGGAAAGAGAGGCGAAGUAGAGAAGAGAGUUAGCUCCUUUUGUGGUCAGCGUCAUGAGAAGCAAGUUGAACAGGGCAAGGUUUAGGAAAGGGUCCUCUGGCAGAUUUAGGAGGUCAGGUAGGGAGGAUUACUGAAAAGCCUUAGUUGUGAACUACACUGAGGCAACAAUAUGGUCCAUCCAACUGGGGGCAUGGCAGAGGUGUUAAGUCAGAUUGGCAAGUGGCCCAAAUUGUUGGUCAGGCUCUGGCCAGGUAAGCCAAUUGGCCAGAGGUCAGCACCAUGGAUAGUCCCAAAGGAUUUGUGGACUCUGGAGAGAAGUGAAGAGAACCCUACAUAUUUGGUGACAGACUAAAGUUUGGUGUUUUUUUUAGCUCAGCCCCUAAGGCUGUUUUGGUUCUACCUAUAUUCAAAAACAACAUUUAUUGAGCACCUAUUGUGUGCCAGACACCCUUACUAGUUCUGGAGAAUGACAAAGAAAUGAGAUGAUACUGUCUGCCCUUAAGAAGCUUACUACUCCCUGGAUAAACUAGAAAUUUUUAAAAAUGAAAAUAAUGAUAUGGCCCUCUUGAGGGAGGAGGGUGGGAAGAGGGAGAGGAUGAGAAAAAAAAUAAUUGUUGAGUACUAUGCUUAGUACCCAGGUGACAAAAUGCUCUGUACCUCAGACUCCUGUGACAUGAGUUUGCCUGUAUUAACAAACCUGCACAUGUACCCCUGAGCCUAAAAUAAAAAUUAAAAAGUGAAAUAAAGAAAAUAAUAAUAGCUAAUAUUUAUUGAGCAAUUACUAUAUACAAAGUACAUAAUUCUAACUGCUAUACAUAAAUUAUUUUAUUGAAUUCUCUCAACAACCUUAUGAAGGAGGUAUUAGUAUCCUUAUAGAUGAUGAAGCUGAGGCACGUAGAAUUUAAGAAACUUUCUUUGUUACGUACCUUGUUAGAAAUAAAGCCAGGA
rnacentral:lncRNA from 1 species